AGCUGGGGAGACUGUUUUAAGUACAAAACACAUUGCAUUGGCAGUUAAUGAAGAGUUGAAUUUGCACACAAGGCUCAUUGAGACCUUGGACCAACAGGUGGACGUGACAGACUCACGGCUUCAGCGGGUGCAAAAGAGACUUGCAAUUCUCAACAGGCGCACAAACCGGC